rnacentral:tRNA from 1 species
AAUUCUCCAUAGUUCAGUCGGUAGAACGGCGGACUGUUAAUCCGUAUGUCGCUGGUUCGAGUCCAGCUGAGAA